AAUGGCCGAACUCCGGCUGUAGAUGCCGGGGACGGGGGAUCCGACUAACUGGGGUGAAUCUCGCCUAGGCGAGUAGGCAAUCUCCUUCUGCCGAACCCGUCAGCUAACCCCGUAGGCACUGGGGAGAGG
rnacentral:sRNA from 1 species